rnacentral:rRNA from 1 species
UGAGGAAUUUUGCGCAAUGGGGGAAACCCUGACGCAGCAACGCCGCGUGAGUGAUGAAGGCCUUCGGGUCGUAAAGCUCUGUCAAGUGGGAAGAACCUGCCUUGUGAUAAUACCAUAGGGCACCGACGGUACCACUGAAGGAAGCACCGGCUAACUCCGUGCCAGCAGCCGCGGUAAUACGGGGGGUGCUAGCGUUAUUCGGAAUCAUUGGGCGUAAAGGGCGCGUAGGCGGUCUUUUAAGUCAGAUGUGAAAGCCCUCGGCUUAACCGAGGAAGUGCAUUUGAUACUAAGAGACUUGAGUAUGGGAGAGGGAAGCGGAAUUCCUGGUGUAGCGGUGAAAUGCGUAGAUAUCAGGAGGAACACCGGUGGCGAAGGCGGCUUCCUGGACCAAUACUGACGC